GACGAGCUGGCGGCGUGCUUAACACAUGCAAGUCGAACGAGACGAUUGAAAGCUUGCUUUUGAAAGUCGAGUGGCAAACGGGUGAGUAACGCGUAGACAACCUGCCUUUGAGAUGGGGACAACAGUCCGAAAUGACUGCUAAUACCGAAUGUGCUAGUAAUAGUAAAGGAGCCCUUAAAGCUUCGCUUGAAGAUGAGCCUGCGGUGUAUUAGCUAGUUGGUGGGGUAAUGGCCUACCAAGGCGACGAUGCAUAGCCGGACUGAGAGGUUGAUCGGCCACACUGGGACUGAGACACGGCCCAGACUCCUACGGGAGGCAGCAGGUGGGGAAUAUUGGGCAAUGGGCGAAAGCCUGACCCAGCAACGCCGCGUGAAGGAAGAAGGCCUUCGGGUUGUAACUUCUUUUAAGAGGGACGAAGGACGUGACGGUACCUCUUGAAUAAGCCACGGCUAACUACGUG
rnacentral:rRNA from 1 species